UAGGAUCAGGUUUGGGGGCAGGGAUGUGCAAGAAGUGUCCCCUUAGGCCAGCUAAAGGGAAAGUGUCUGUUUUGAUCACAGUGCUGAGGUGCUCAGGGCAGAGCAGUUCUGGUGUGUGUCCUGUCACUUGUCUCUGGUGCACUCUGUGUUCUUUGGGUCUCUCAGUCCUUUCUUCUCCUCAAAAGCUCUCUCUCCCUGUCCUGUGUCACGGGUGUCUGCACGUAUUUGUCCUACAACUGCUCUGCCCUGCUGCAUAGACUGUAAUAGCACAUGUCCUGGGGACUUGAAAUUUGUAAUGCAGGGUGUAGUUGGGCUCUAGAUUGGAUUAGGAGAUUGACAUAACAUGUCUGGUGCUGUUAAGUUGUCCUGCAGCCGUUUGACACUAGUCCUAACUUCAUUUCAGAUACUGACAGUCCAAAUCUGUGGCAGAGAGCCCCAGUCCUGGGGUGAGGGUGUUGCCAUGAUCAGGAGGUCCAGGCAGAUAGCAGCAGUCAAGGCCAAGUGUUCGAGGGAAUCCACUCAGAGUAUGCCAAGCCCCUGUCACCAACAGCUGAUGGCCUGGAUUUCCUGUGCUUGUGAGCCCUUUGGAAGUAUUGAAGAACUCUGAGGUGAAGGCUUGACAUUUUGUAUUGCAAGAUGGCAUCCAGAUAGCCUUUGGCACUGGCUGAGGAGUUGUGGCAGACCCUGUGAUGACGGUGGCAG